GAAAUGCGAUAAGUAGUGUGAAUUGCAGAAUUCAGUGAAUCAUCGAAUCUUUGAACGCACAUUGCGCCCCUUGGUAUUCCAUGGGGCAUGCCUGUUCGAGCGUCAUCUACACCCUCAAGCUCUGCUUGGUGUUGGGCGUCUGCCCCGCCCCCGCGCGUGGACUCGCCCCAAAUCCAUUGGCAGCGUUCCUUGCCCCCUCUCGCGCAGCACAUUGCGCUUCUCGAGGGCGGCUCCGGGACGCGAUCCAGCAAGAUGACCACCGUCUUUGACCUCGGAUCAGGUAGGGAUACCCGCUGAACUUAAGC
rnacentral:misc_RNA from 1 species